rnacentral:lncRNA from 1 species
AACUAAAACACACGUACACAGACACACUCUCUCUAUCUCUCACUUAACCCAAAACUAAAACACACAUACACAGACACACUCUCUCUAUCUCUCACUUAACCCACCCUAAUUAAUUUAUCUUGUAUAUGUAUACAAAGAAACACUUCAACUAAAGGGCCUGUUUGUUUCGAGGGAAGUGGGGUGGAAGUUGAACGGGGGAAGUAAUUUUCGGUGAAAACUCACCACUUCCGCCGUUUGGUUCACCGUAAUUUUAUUACGCCCGAAAGUCCAGUUCACCUAAAAUAAUGAACUUGACUUCGCGCUCCCAUGGGGCGAAGUCAAUUACGGUGAAGUGAAAAAAAGACAAGAAUGGAUUAAUGUGUUAGGGUUACCUCUUCUAAAAUAUGAUCAAAUUUGAUUAGGUAAACUUUAAUAUAUUUUUUGUUUAAUUUGUAUAUUUAGAAAAUGAUGAAAAAUAAAUUUGUUAAAUGUUAAUAAUUUUUUAACUUUAGAAUUUUAUUUGUUGCAUUAUUAUAAUUUAUAUGCAAACAAAUAAUAUAAUUUUUUAAAAUUUUAUUUUAUAAUUAUACAUAUAUAUAAUUAUAUUAAUUUUUAUUUAUUAUAAUUUAUUAUUCACUAUAAGUUACAGAAUAGACAAUAAUAUCACUUAGGAGGUAAGUAUACCGGGGGUGAAGAGCUAUACUUUUUACGUCAUCUACUUCCUACCAAACAAACAACAGAACUCGCAGAACUGCACUUCCACAGUUAAAAACAAACAGCAGAAGUGAACUAAUUUUCACCCCAACUCCACUUCAACUCAAAGUCCACUUCUACCCCAAGUCUAGUUACGUUGAAACAGACAUGGCACGUUGCUUCAAGGAUUGUUCUAUUAGCAAAUUCACAUGUCAUCUAUAAAAAUAUGUGCAUAAAAAAAUCAAUUCUUUUAACUACAACAGAAUUAGAUUAUAAGGACACAUGUUUAGGACACUUUUGUGUAAGUGUCUCAUUUAUGUCAAAACUUUAAAAAAAAUCUAUUAAUGCCUAAAUAUAAAGUCCAAUCCAACCAAAAAUAAAAGUUUACUCUACUCAACCUAUCCCACCUAGCCCAUUCGAUCCAAUUACAAACAGAAAAGAAAAAGAAAAGAAAAAUCGAUUAUCAUUUCCCCUUCUCCCUUCACUCAAUCGACUGAAAUCCUAAAUGAAGAUCCCUUCCUCUCGUCCUCUUCUGCCACCACAACUAACAAGGUAGAGUUCUGACAGUUGCUAAAUAUUUAAAUAAGUGUUGGUAAAUUAGCAGCACUCUUUUUAGAUUAUAGCGACACUCAUUAACUGUUACUAUAUACCUUGCGACCCCACAUAUAGCAACACUUUUUAAAAAUGUCGGUAAUUUAGCCAGCAGCACUUUUUUUGAUCUGUACCGAUAUUUAAAAGUGUCGCUAUAGACCGUUUUUGUUGUAGUGUUUGUAUUAUAUGUAUGAGCUACAUAUAAUUAAAGAAAAUAUUUUACAAUAUCAAUAAAAGUAUAUAAA